rnacentral:rRNA from 1 species
GACGAACGCUGGCGGCGUGCCUAAUACAUGCAAGUAGAACGCUGAAGAGAGGAGCUUGCUCUUCUUGGAUGAGUUGCGAACGGGUGAGUAACGCGUAGGUAACCUGCCUGGUAGCGGGGGAUAACUAUUGGAAACGAUAGCUAAUACCGCAUAAUAGCAGUUAUUGCAUGAUAACUGUUUGAAAGGUGCAAAUGCAUCACUACCAGAUGGACCUGCGUUGUAUUAGCUAGUUGGUGAGGUAACGGCUCACCAAGGCGACGAUACAUAGCCGACCUGAGAGGGUGAUCGGCCACACUGGGACUGAGACACGGCCCAGACUCCUACGGGAGGCAGCAGUAGGGAAUCUUCGGCAAUGGACGGAAGUCUGACCGAGCAACGCCGCGUGAGUGAAGAAGGUUUUCGGAUCGUAAAGCUCUGUUGUAAGAGAAGAACGAGUGUGAGAGGGAAAGUUCACAC